GGGUCAUUCAAAAAAAUAUCCACACCCCUAAUGGAAGAGAUGGGAGGUUCAGCUUCCUCCCACUUUUGGACACCCUUAGCUAAUACUUUUACUAUUAUCAGCAGUUGAGUUCUGCCCACUUCAGACAGCACUUCAGACAUCUGUGGAGUUAGUGUUUAUCUUUUCUGGAAUGACUCAUUGGUGAUUGGUAGUUAAUAAUUAUUCAUUGAAGAAUUUAAAUUAAAAUAAUACAAUUUCAACUGCAUCAUUGUGG